rnacentral:rRNA from 1 species
UACGAGUGCUCCAAGCGUUAUCCGGAAUCAUUGGGCGUAAAGGGUGUGUAGGCGGUCUUAUUAGUCUUCUGUCAAAACUCCCGGCUUAACCUGGAAUCUGCAGAGGAAACGGUAAGACUUGAGGAUGCGAGAGGUGAAUGGAACUCAUAGUGUAGGGGUGAAAUCCGUUGAUAUUAUGGGGAACACCAAAAGCGAAGGCAAUUCACUGGCGCACUCCUGACGCUGAAACACGAAAGCGUGGGUAGCGAAUGGG